rnacentral:rRNA from 1 species
GACGAACGCUGGCGGCGUGCUUAACUCAUGCAAGUCGAACGGAAAGGCCCUGCUUUUGUGGGGUGCUCGAGUGGCGAACGGGUGAGUAACACGUGAGUAACCUGCCCUUGACUUUGGGAUAACUUCAGGAAACUGGGGCUAAUACCGGAUAGGAGCUCCUGCUGCAUGGUGGGGGUUGGAAAGUUUCGGCGGUUGGGGAUGGACUCGCGGCUUAUCAGCUUGUUGGUGGGGUAGUGGCUUACCAAGGCUUUGACGGGUAGCCGGCCUGAGAGGGUGACCGGCCACAUUGGGACUGAGAUACGGCCCAGACUCCUACGGGAGGCAGCAGUGGGGAAUAUUGCACAAUGGGCGGAAGCCUGAUGCAGCAACGCCGCGUGCGGGAUGACGGCCUUCGGGUUGUAAACCGCUUUCGCCUGUGACGAAGCGUGAGUGACGGUAAUGGGUAAAGAGGCACCGGCUAACUACGUG